UACGGAGGAUGCGAGCGUUAUCCGGAUUUAUUGGGUUUAAAGGGUGCGUAGGCGGACUGUCAAGUCAGCGGUAAAAUUGAGAGGCUCAACCUCUUCCCGCCGUUGAAACUGGUGGUCUUGAGUGGAUGAGAAGUACGCGGAAUGCGUGGUGUAGCGGUGAAAUGCAUAGAUAUCACGCAGAACUCCGAUUGCGAAGGCAGCGUACCGGCAUCCAACUGACGCUGAGCCACGAAAGCGUGGGGAUCAAACAGG
rnacentral:rRNA from 1 species